AAGACUGUUGGAAAGCAGGGAUGAUGACGGCAACCUUUUGCUAUAUAUUCGUGAUGACCUAAUGCUUAACCUUCGUAAAAGCAGAAUACUUGUGGAAGACUUCGUCAUUACCUCAUACACUGAAACUAGUUCAGACAAUGUGAUCGUUAACGGAGCAGAACUAGAGCGGGACUUGUACCACGACACAGAGCACCGUUCUUCGCUUCUUGUCACGAGACGAGAAAGUGGCGUGGAGGUGAGAGGAAUUUUGAACGAUAAACUCAGGAUUGCACCGGCUGUCCUUGCUGAGCGUGUUGAUCAAGGUCUCAUUC